rnacentral:rRNA from 1 species
GACGAACGCUGGCGACGUGCUUAACACAUGCAAGUCGAGCGGUAAGGCCCUUUCGGGGGUACACGAGCGGCGAACGGGUGAGUAACACGUGGGUGACCUGCCCUCAGCUCUGGGAUAAGCCUGGGAAACCGGGUCUAAUACUGGAUAUGACUCCAUGACGCAUGUUGUGGGGUGGAAAGCCUUGUGCGGCUGAGGAUGGGCCCGCGGCCUAUCAGCUUGUUGGUGGGGUGAGGCCUACCAAGGCGACGACGGGUAGCCGGCCUGAGAGGGCGACCGGCCACACUGGGACUGAGACACGGCCCAGACUCCUACGGGAGGCAGCAGUGGGGAAUCUUGCGCAAUGGGCGAAAGCCUGACGCAGCGACGCCGCGUGAGGGAUGACGGCCUCGGUUGUAAC